rnacentral:piRNA from 1 species
UUUUAUGUAGUGUGCAAAUGAUUAAUAAU